UUUGUACUCCCUCCGUCCAAAAAUUCUAUUCUUAAAUUUGUCUAAAUACGGCUGUAUCUAGUUACAUUUUAGUGUUAGAUACAUCCGUAUCUAAACAAAUGUAAGACAAGAAUUUUGGGACGGAGGGAAUACUAC
rfam:Triticum aestivum genome assembly, contig: Triticum_aestivum_CS42_TGACv1_scaffold_592245_7BS